rnacentral:rRNA from 1 species
UACAGAGGUCCCAAGCGUUGUUUGGAUUCACUGGGCGUAAAGGGUGCGUAGGUGGUGAGGUAAGUCGGAUGUGAAAGCUCGGAGCUCAACUCCGAAAUGGCAUUGGAAACUACCUUGCUCGAGGGUUGGAGGGGGGACUGGAAUGCUUGGUGUAGCAGUGAAAUGCGUAGAUAUCAAGCGGAACACCAGUGGCGAAGGCGAGUCCCUGGACAACUCCUGACACUGAGGCACGAAAGCUAGGGGAGCAAACAGG